UACGUAGGGUGCAAGCGUUGUCCGGAAUUAUUGGGCGUAAAGAGCUUGUAGGCGGUUUGUCGCGUCUGCUGUGAAAACUCGGGGCUUAACUCCGGGCCUGCAGUGGGUACGGGCAGACUAGAGUGCGGUAGGGGAGACUGGAAUUCCUGGUGUAGCGGUGAAAUGCGCAGAUAUCAGGAGGAACACCGGUGGCGAAGGCGGGUCUCUGGGCCGUAACUGACGCUGAGGAGCGAAAGCGUGGGGAGCGAACAGG
rnacentral:rRNA from 1 species